rnacentral:lncRNA from 1 species
AUUUUGUAAUAUUAAAUUCUGGCUGGGGCCAUUUCACUUUAUUAAUGUUUGAAAUCUCAAGGAGAACAAAGGAGCUGUCACUGAGAGGAAAGCGGGAGAGUCUGCCAAUGCUUGGCAUCCAGUAGGUGUUUAAUAAAUACUUAUUGAAUGAACAAAUAGAAAUAAAAUCAUCAGAAAAUGUCAUAAGACGUAAACUGUGAUCCUGAUCCCCAGGGGACUGAGCUGAACUGAGAGUAACUCGGGGACAUUCAUCUGCCGCAGGGGAUCCACAAAUUCAGGAGUAGCGUAUGGAACCUAAAAUGUGCAUAAAGAAAUAUACUACGGCAUGCAGGAAACCUCGAUAUGCUCAGGUACGCAAAGUGUUUCCUGAGUGGAUCUGCGGGAGUACGUAGUACAGAGGACCCCCAAAAUUGCAGAGGUUAUGUUCCUAGAGCACUCGUGAAUUGUGAACAUCCGCAAAUUUCAAAUGUGUUCAGAAAAAUACUUACAAACGCCUGUUUCUAUAGUUCAACCCUAAAGAUGCUAUGUCUCUUGCAGUUAUGUGAUUUAAUUUAAUAACUAAAAUAAAUUAAUUUAACUGUGGGAAUAAAGCCCGAGAAGGUGCAGGGCGUUUGGGCCUCAUCUUAGGGAUCUCAGGGCUUUAAAUACAACACAGGCGGUACAGCAAUCUGUUAUGAUGCGGGAAUGCUGGUGCAUCUGCCAGAGAUGGUUUACAGGGCAGCAGCCAAUCAGCAGCAAGGAGAACUGAAUAACGCUCUCGGAUUGGCUACUUGCAAACUUCCCUCCCAGAAAACAACUGCGGAGGAGAUUUGACGCGAAAGUGUGGGGUUUCCAUAAACAGUUAUUAGUUAGGUUCUAAGGAAAAAUCCGCCAACAACUGAGGCCGCGAACUCUGAACCACGACUUGGGGGGAGGUGUACUGCAUGUACCCAGUGCUCAUAACAGAUACAACAAGUCAAAAGAAUUGGCUACAACACUGGGGCGGCCAGAGAGAGCUCCUAGGUAUUCAUCUACAUCCUCGCCAUUUAUUGGCCUUCAAAUCUGCAGACUUCGCCAGCACUGAAGACCUUGUCCGCCCCGACGCUGCCUAUGGAGUGGCAAAUAUUUGGGAAAUGGAUGAAGUUUCAAAGAAAUGCACCGUCCAGCCAUUCGGAGUUUCAAUUGCUGAAAGGAAUUCUAUCCCAAGAGUGAAUUAACCCAGCUCCACCAGAGUUUUUACCUAUUUCCGGUGACUAUGAUGGGAUCAGUUGGUCAGCCACUGUACAUAGACAAAGAGAUCUUCUAAGCUCUGUAAAAAAGUUGAAAAGGGUACUAAUCCAGAUGUGCUUCUUUCUGUAGAGAAAUCCAUCACGCACAAAGAAAUAAAACUCAUGCAAAAUCAGAUACUCAAGAUAUAUCUACUUAUUGUCUUACUGUUGUUUAUUAUUUCUUCUGCUGCUAUAAAGAUUCUUAAAGGCAGACAACAUGCCUUUCACAGGGUACUUAGACUCCUCCGUUCUCAGUCUAAACCCUACUUUAUAUGGUCCUAGCACCAGGUGCAUCCAACUCAAGCUUACAAACGCUCUCUACCGCAUCCCAACAGAGCCUUAGCUUGAAUUUGAGCAGGGUGUCCAGGCCCUGUGUUCGCAUGUUAUGUAUUAAAAUCACUGAUCUCAAUUACUCAGACUUUUCUACGAGGAUUCCAAUAAGCAUUUGUGCCUGCUAGAAAGACGGUAACAGACUGGUCUUUAGUUGGUUACAUUUUAUGGAAUGUUUACAUUAUUUGUAAAGUGUUCAUCAGUUAGCUAAGUAAUUAUAACUAACGUUUAGAAGUAGUAUGUUGUUGUAGAAAGAGCUAAGUUGAGACUAGAAAACCUGAAUUUUCUGUUUUGGGUUCUGUCACUAUCUAUCGAUAUAACUUUGGGCAAGUCACUAAUUCUAUUCAGUUUCAGUUGUUUUGUUGUUUAAUUGCUGUUCAUUAAUGCAUAAAAUGAGGGCUUUCUACUGUUGCUCCCAAGCUGGAGGACACAGCUCUUUAGAAUCACAAAAGAGUAAUAACAAGACCUCAAAUAAUUGUUGCAUGUGAAAAAAGCCUAACAUUGAAAUUAUGCAUUCAACCCUGAUAAGGUUACCUGGAAUGUUCUCUUUAGCUAUCACAGUGACUGCUUUCCCAGAUUAAAGUCAAGGUUUAGGCUGUCUUAGCCAUCGGAGAAAUUCUUUCAUUUUUAAAGACUUCCGGAAUUAAUAUGGAACUGAUAUUUAACAGUCGAGACUGUAAAUGAACCUAAA